UUAAAUAAUUUAUAUUUAGACUCAGACUGCAAUUUUCAUACAGAGUUCAAGGUGUCUUCGGCGGGCGCGGGCCCGGGGGCAGAGGCCCCCCGGCGGCCGUGAGGCGGGCCUGCCGAAGCAACAAGGUACAAUAAAACACGGGUGGGAGGUUGGACCCAGAGGGCCCUCACUCAGUAAUGAUCCUUCCGCAGGUUCACCUACGGAAA
rnacentral:misc_RNA from 1 species